CCAGACAUCACCUGGGAUCUUGCUGGACUGCAGGCUCUGGUUCAGUAGGCCUGCUGGGUCCUGAGAUUCUACACGUCUAGCGAGUUCUCAGCGAUGCUUGU
rnacentral:pre_miRNA from 1 species